rnacentral:rRNA from 1 species
CAAUAGCGUAUAUUAAAGUUGUUGCGGUUAAAAAGCUCGUAGUUGGAUUUCUGCUGAGAACGACCGGUCCGCCCUCUGGGUGUGUAUCUGGCUCUUUCUUGGCAUCUUCUUGGUGAACGUUGCUGCACUUGACUGUGUGGAGCGCUACCCAGGACUUUUACUUUGAGGAAAUUAGAGUGUUUCAAGCAGGCAUACGCCUUGAAUACAUUAGCAUGGAAUAAUAAGAUAGGACCUCGGUUCUAUUUUGUUGGUUUCUAGAGCUGAGGUAAUGAUUAAUAGGGAUAGUUGGGGGCAUUCGUAUUUAACUGUCAGAGGUGAAAUUCUUAGAUUCGUUGAGGACCAACCACUGCGAAAGCAUUUGUCAAGGAUGUCUCCAUUAA